rnacentral:rRNA from 1 species
UACAGAGGUCUCAAGCGUUGUUCGGAUUCAUUGGGCGUAAAGGGUGCGUAGGCGGCGGGGUAAGUCAGGUGUGAAAUUUCGGAGCUUAACUCCGAAACUGCAUUUGAUACUGCCUUGCUUGAGGACUGGAGAGGAGACUGGAAUUCAUGGUGUAGCAGUGAAAUGCGUAGAGAUCAUGAGGAAGACCAGUGGCGAAGGCGGGUCUCUGGACAGUUCCUGACACUGAGGCACGAAGGCCAGGGGAGCAAACGGG